UCCAGACUCCUACGGGAGGCAGCAGUGAGGAAUAUUGGUCAAUGGUCGGGAGACUGAACCAGCCAAGCCGCGUGAGGGAAGACGGCCCUACGGGUUGUAAACCUCUUUUGUCGGGGAGCAAAGCGAACCACGUGUGGUUCAUUGAGAGUACCCGAAGAAAAAGCAUCGGCUAACUCCGUGCCAGCAGCCGCGGUAAUACGGAGGAUGCGAGCGUUAUCCGGAUUUAUUGGGUUUAAAGGGUGCGCAGGCGGAAUGUCAAGUCAGCGGUAAAAUUUCGGGGCUCAACCCCGUCGUGCCGUUGAAACUGGCGUUCUUGAGUGAGCGAGAAGUAUGCGGAAUGCGUGGUGUAGCGGUGAAAUGCAUAGAUAUCGCGCAGAACUCCGAUUGCGAAGGCAGCAUGCCGGCUCCACACUGACGCUGAGGCACGAAAGCGUGGGUAUCGAACAGGAUUAGAUACCCGCGUAC
rnacentral:rRNA from 1 species